GGUGGCUCAGGGGUAGAGUGCUUGCCUAGCAUGCAUGAAGCCCUGGGUUCGAUUCCUCAGCACCA
rnacentral:tRNA from 1 species